rnacentral:lncRNA from 1 species
AUAACAUCUCUGCAAGAUCACUAAGGCCAUUCAACCCUUAAAACCCUUAUCUUUUCUUUCCAUAUAUUGAAGAUACAUACACUAAUUAGAAUUAAGCCAAAAGCAUUUCUUUUCCCUGUUCAUCGACUUCAAUUCCUUUACCAAUUUGAAUAAUUAUUUGGUGGGUAUACAUGUAUAUAUAUCAUAAUAAAUCCAUUUGCCUUUGUUUGACUCACAACCCUUCAUGCAUUAAAAUCUAUAUGUACACAUUUGUGGACAUCAAUAUGCCCAGGCAAUCUCGUACUCAAUUCCAAAUCGUUUCUGCAGUAAUUCCUGAUCACAAAAUUAAGCUAACCCAUUUCCUUCUUUCCUUAGUACUUAAUUUAUUUCUUGACUCUAAAUUUCUAAUUGCAACCAAUAGGCAAUAGUCAUAAUAACAUCGACUAUACAUGAACCAAUCCAAAAAAUAAAUCAUCUAGAAUAUGGGUCCUAAUCCAAUUCCACAAAAUAUGAUAAUGAAAAUUGAAAAGCAGAGAGAGAAGAUUCUUACUUGCCGCCUGCUGUUGGAGAUUAUUAACGCCUCAUACCCAGCCACCCGUGCACUUGGAGUAGGCGAAGGAGGAGGAGAAGUGAUCGGAGAUGACUAAAUUGGCGAGACUGACCGGAGCAGUUAGAGCAGGGGCUGAUAGCCAGAGACGUCGAGGACUCGAGCGAGACUAGAGAGAGGGGAGGACGAAAUGUCUGAAUGUGGGGAAUCGGACUGGGAUAAUAAUG